rnacentral:rRNA from 1 species
GACGAACGCUGGCGGCGUGCUUAACACAUGCAAGUCGAACGCUGAAGCUCAGCUUUUGUUGGGUGGAUGAGUGGCGAACGGGUGAGUAACACGUGAGUAACCUGCCCUCUUCUUUGGGAUAACGCCCGGAAACGGGUGCUAAUACUGGAUAUUCACUGAUCUUCGCAUGGGGGUUGGUGGAAAGGUUUGUUCUGGUGGGGGAUGGGCUCGCGGCCUAUCAGCUUGUUGGUGGGGUGAUGGCCUACCAAGGCUUUGACGGGUAGCCGGCCUGAGAGGGUGACCGGUCACAUUGGGACUGAGAUACGGCCCAGACUACUACGGGAGGCAGCAGUGGGGAAUAUUGCACAAUGGGCGAAAGCCUGAUGCAGCGACGCCGCGUGAGGGAUGGAGGCCUUCGGGUUGUAAACCUCUUUCGCUCAUGGUCAAGCCGCGACGUGGGUUGUGGUGAGGGUAGUGGGUAAAGAAGCGCCGGCUAACUACGUG